rnacentral:rRNA from 1 species
UACGGAGGAUGCGAGCGGUAUCCGGAUUUAUUGGGUUUAAAGGGUGCGCAGGCGGCACGGCAAGCCGGCGGUCAAAUCGCGGGGCUCAACCCCGCCCAGCCGUCGGAACUGCCGGGCUAGAGUGGGCGAGAAGUGCGCGGAAUGCGUGGUGUAGCGGUGAAAUGCAUAGAUAUCACGCAGAACUCCGAUUGCGAAGGCAGCGCACCGGCGCCCUACUGACGCUCAGGCACGAAAGCGUGGGUAUCGAACAGG